GGACCUACGGGGGGCAGCAGUGGGGAAUAUUGGGCAAUGGGCGCAAGCCUGACCCAGCAACGCCGCGUGAAGGAAGAAGGCUUUCGGGUUGUAAACUUCUUUUCUCAGGGACGAAGAAAGUGACGGUACCUGAGGAAUAAGCCACGGCUAACUACGUGCCAGCAGCCGCGGUAAUACGUAGGUGGCAAGCGUUGUCCGGAUUUACUGGGUGUAAAGGGCGUGCAGCCGGAGAGACAAGUCAGAUGUGAAAUCCGCAGGCUCAACCUGCGAACUGCAUUUGAAACUGUUUCCCUUGAGUAUCGGAG
rnacentral:rRNA from 1 species